AACGAACGCUGGCGGCAUGCCUAACACAUGCAAGUCGAACGAGACCUUCGGGUCUAGUGGCGCACGGGUGCGUAACGCGUGGGAACCUGCCCUUAGGUUCGGAAUAACUCCCCGAAAGGGGUGCUAAUACCGGAUAAUGUCUUCGGACCAAAGAUUUAUCGCCUUUGGAUGGGCCCGCGUUGGAUUAGCUAGUUGGUAGGGUAAAAGCCUACCAAGGCGACGAUCCAUAGCUGGUCUGAGAGGAUGAUCAGCCACACUGGGACUGAGACACGGCCCAGACUCCUACGGGAGGGAGCAGUGGGGAAUAUUGGACAAUGGGCGAAAGCAUGAUCCAGCAAUGCCGCGUGAGUGAUGUAGGCCUUAGGGUUGUAAAGCUCUUUUACCCGGGAUGAUAAUGACAGUACCGGGAGAAUAAGCUCCGGCUAACUCCGUG
rnacentral:rRNA from 1 species